rnacentral:lncRNA from 8 species
AUGGCCCUGAACGAACUUCAUUUGACUCUAUGUAAACUGGAAACCACAUAUCCUGAGGCUGCAUUUAUUGUAGCUGGGGAUUUUAACAAGGCUAAUCUGAAAACAAGGCUCCCUAAAUUCUAUCAGCAUAUCGAUUGCGCUACCAGGGCUGGCAAAACCCUAGGUGAUUGUUAUUCUAACUUCCGCGACACAUAUAAGGCCCUCCCCCGCCCUACUUUCGGAAAAGCUGACCAUGACUCCAUUUUGUUGCUUCCAGCCUAUAGACAGAAACUACAACUGGAAGCUCCCGCACUCAGGUCUGUUCAACGCUGGUGCGACCAAUCGGAUUCCACGCUUCAAGAUUGCUUCGAUCACGUGGACUGGGAUAUGUUCCGCAUUGCGGCGAACAACAACAUUGAUGUAUACGCUGAUUUGGUGAGCGGGUUUAUUAGCAAGUUUAUCGGCGAUGUCGUACCCACAGCGUCUAUUAAAACAUUCCCAAACCAGAAACCGUGGAUUGAUGGCAGCAUUCGCGCAAAACUGAAAGCGCGAACCACUGCUUUUAAUCAUGGCAAGGUGACCAGAAACAUGACCGAAUACAAACAGUGUAGCUAUUCCCUCCGCAAGGCAAUCAAACAAGCUAAGCGUCAGUAUAGAGACAAAGUAGAGUCGCAAUUCAACGGCUCAGACAUGAGAAGUAUGUGGCAGGGUCUACAGUCAAUCACGGACUAUAAAAGGAAAACCAGCCCCGUCGCGGACCAGGAUGUCUUGCACCCAGACAGACUAAACAACUUCUUUGCUCGCUUUGAGGACAAUACAGUGCCACUGACACGGCCCGCUACCAAAACCUGCGGGCUCUCCUUCACUGCAGCCGACGUGAGCAAAACAUUUAAACGUCGCAAGGCUGCAGGCCCAGACGGCAUCCCCAGCCGCGUCCUCAGAGCAUGCACAGACCAGCUGGCUGGUGUGUUUACGGACAUAUUCAAUCAAUCCUUAUCCCAGUCUGCUGUCCCCACAUGCUUCAAGAGGGCCACCAUUGUUCCUGUUCCCAAGAAAGCUAAGGUAACUGAGCUAAAUGACUACCGCCCCGUAGCACUCACUUCCGUCAUCAUGAAGUAA